AGCGAUUAAUAAUAACUUUUUUAUAUACAUGAAAAUAUAGAAUAUGAUAAUUCUAUGGUUAUCAUAACUCCUUGUGUAAAAAAAUUUAUGCUAAUAUUUUUUAUUAUCAAUAUUAUUUAUAAAUAAGUUAUGCCUGUUAAAAACUAUACACCGCAACAACAUAAAUAAUAUUUUUAGAGACAAUCUACUUGUCUGAGGUCAAAUUUUCUCCAAUUUAUGUUAAUAUUACUUUGUUAUUCUAAGAAAAAUUUGUACAAGGAGAAAAAUAUAUUUUGAACAACAACAAAAUAAUAUUGUUGCCCUUUAGAAAUUCAUUCUUCAUUAAACUUUAGAAGGCCCUUCCGGAUUCUUCAUCAAUGCAACUUUACGACUUUUUAGGAAUAUUUAUUUAUGAUUGUUACAUUAUGAAAGUACACAUAAAUUAGAAUGUUGUAUUGUAGACUCAUGUUAAAGAAACAUUUUUUAAAAUUAAAAAAUUAAAAAUGAGCUAACCUAGAUAAUUCGAACACUCACCAAUGACUUGGGACAUAAAGGACAAAAAAUCUAUAUUAAUAGACAUAUCUUUUAUAGAUUGAAAUAUUACUUUUAUUUAGAGUAGGUUUUGCUUCAUAUCCUUCAAAUUAAGCUUGACUGAAAUAGUCGUAACUCACAACAAAAAUAUUUAGAAGAGACGAAUGAAAAGGAAAAAUAAGGAAAACAUUAAAAGGACUAAAAUCGUUAUCAUAGUCAGAUUAUGUACAUACAAACCAAAAAGAAUCAAUAUAAUUGUAAGGAGACAACAUAAAAGUGAGAAAAACAUACAUUAAAGGGAGUAAACUAUAGGAUAUUCAAUGAUGAUAACAAAUCAUUCUAACCAGAAAAAAUUUUAUCUUUUGAAAUAACAUACCUCAAAAAACUGAAUAGCAUUUCAAUCAACUUUUAAUCCUUAAAGUAAUCAUAAUGUCGAGUGAUAAAAUUAGGGAUAAUGCACAAGUAUCCCCUCAAUCUAUGCCCGUAUUCUCAGAGACACAGUUAUGCUAUAAUAAGAUCAUAUUACAUCCUUGAACUUAUUUUAUUAAUAAUUUUCUAACCUUUUCGACCUAUGUGACAUUAUCUUGUGGGCCCAACGCUGGUUGACUUUUUCUUUCAAGCUAGUGCCACGUAGGCUGAAAAGGGGUACAAAAUUAUUUAUAUAAUAAGUUUAGGGGGGUAAUAGGACCUUAGUAUAGUAUAAAUGUGUCUCUGGGAUUUCAGGCAUAGGUUGAGGGGGUACUUGUGCAUUUUUCCAUAAAAUUAAGUAUAAAUAGAUAAAAAAAAAAUAUAAAAAUAAUAUGGGCAUGUAUAGUUAUUAACUCUCAGAGGAUUUUCUGAAGGACACAAAAUCACAUCCUUAUAUGUUAAGGAAUAGCGUUGUUGUUGAAGAGAUAUGAGAUUUGAAAAGGCUUUUUAAUGUACAUCCAACAAUUUCAGUAGAGAAAACUUGCUUGAAUAUUCAAUUGACAUUUGUUAUUUAAUUUUUACUAACAUAUACUUAUAAUAACAGCUGUACAUAAACAUAAAUAACAAAGUUUAAAGCAUAUACUCAAAAACAACAACCAAUAAAAUAAGCAUAAACUAAUGAGUGUAAAAAAUAUACCAGGAUAUGUAACAUUGAAAUAAAACAUAAUGAUACAAAUCGAGCCCAUUGUGUGCACAUUGUAAUUCUCUAUUUAUAGACAACAAAUGCUACUUGUAAAAAAAUGAUUAAUGUGUCUUAUCGGAAAUGACACAAUUCUUUAGAAAGUUAAAACCUUUCAGAAAGGGAACAAUAUUUCGUAAAAGUCGCAACUUUUCAUGAUAAAAGUUUCAACAUUUCAUAAAAGUCACAACUUUUCAUGAAAGAGGAAACCUAGUAUUGGAAAUAAAAUAAAUUAAAGAGAAUCCUUGCUUGUGGUGUCGCCACAUAGACAGUCCUAAGGUUCUCUUUAAUAUAAAUAUAUGAUACUUUAUUAUAUGUAGUAUUUUAAUCAAAUAACAAUUCCUAAACUCUUUUCAAAGUUAUUUAAAAGUUAGUCUUUUAUUCCAAAUUAUUUCAAUUGUAGUCACUCCAAUUUAUUCAAAUCCUAGUCCUUCAUCUCUUAUGAAAUCAAUGGUUGAGAUUAAAUUCUUCUUUUCCCUAUUUAUAAACUAUCAAAAAAUCUAAACCUAAACCCUAGUCUUCUUAUUCUCUCCUCCUCCCUGCCUUCCCCUUCGCUCUUCUCUUCCUCUUCUCCUCUCCAGCGAGCUGCCAUGCAGCUCCGACCAGCGGCGACUAGUGAGAGAGGGAAGCGAAACUCCGGCGAGAUGUGCCAGGUGGCGCCACCCCUUCCCCCUUUUCUCCUUCCCUCUCAGAUCUCUCCUCCCUCCUCUUCUCCUUGUUCUUUUUUUUCUCUCUCUUUGCAGGACCACCAGGCAGCAGGCUGCGGCGAAGAACAGCGACCAGCAGCAAUGAGCCAACGCCAGCAACAGCAACCAGAUGCUGCCUCAUCUCAAUCUCAGGCGAGCAUCUACGAAAGCCAGCUCCGACCAGUAGCAAUUCGACGAUUCUCCUCUUUUGCGACGAGGACGGACAACAUACUCCGUCGAGCAUUUCGACGUUUUGAGACAGAUUUUAACAAAUUCUUCCAGGAGUCUUCUGUUGUUCUCAGACGAGCGAGGGAGAAACGGUCAGUCUCCAUGCUUCACCAAGUAAGCAUCGCAAACCACACAUGUUGGAUUGAUGUCCUUGAGCCGAAGGUCUUUCGUACACAAUCUCUUAAUUUUCAUGAAAUAGUGACAAUGAUGGUGAUCUUACAGCAGCAGAGUUGAAAAAUCUUGAGGCUAAAUAUCGUCAAGAUGCAAAAUCCUUGAACAAAAUCCAAAUGGGAGACUCAAGAGCAUAUCUUGCAAAAAUAGCUAAUUGUGAGACUGCAAAAGGAAUCUUGGGAUUCUCUUGAAACUGAGGUGUAUGGUGACAAAAAGAAAAGUAUGAGUACAUUAUUGCUAUCAUUGAGGAGACGAAAGAUCUUUCUAAGCUUUCCAUCAAAGAGCUAGUUGGAUCAUUUAGUGCAUAUGAGAAGCGAAGAUUUUUUCGUGAAGAUCAACCCAAAGAGACGACUUUCAGUAUAAAAAAAAUGAGAAUUCUCAAAAUUUCUCAAAAAAUCAACAAAAGAAGAACUACAAGCCAAAAAAGAAGCAAAAUCAUGAUGGUUCUUCCCAAAAGGUUGAAGAAAAAGGUGAAAAAAACUCUAGUUUAUUUGUAAAGUUGACUAAUCACAAUGCAGAAAAAUGUUGGCACAAAGGCAAACCCCAAUGUAAAAUUUGUAAAAACUUUGGCCAUGUUGAAAAGGAUUGCUAGCACAAGA